rfam:Erwinia tracheiphila strain BuffGH Etrach_2, whole genome shotgun sequence.
CGUUGCAAUACGCAACAUGCCAAUGUCCCGGCAAUCUGAGAGGGACGCCUUCGGGUGAUUGCAUGCCAAAGUUGUCAAAACCUGAGAGACGACGCCUUCGGGCGGUAAACCCGUCAGCCUUUGAAAAUGGGGAUCGCGUUAACUGCGAUAAAGGAUUUA